AAGAGUUCGACAGAGAUCUCCGUCUGACACUGCUAUCAGGCAAAUCAUGUUUUAUUUAUUUGUAAUCUAACCAUUUCGUUAUAGAAACGUGAUACCAUCAACCCAAGCUGUAAAAUGAUUCCCAAUUCAGAACACAGCAACCUUAGUAAUGUAGCUAGCUAAUUACAAGUAGAUCUGUUGAUCGCUACCUGAAGCAGAUAGCCUUAUCACUAGCUAGCAUGUCAUUCCACGACAAUUCCAAGAAUUUUAGCUAUCAGUUUAUUCCAAGUAAUAAUUUAAGAUUACAAAAAUCUAUAGGACAAGUAUUGUACAUCUACUUCAGUCAUCAGGGCAGGACCCACUAAUUUCAUUCAUACUGACAAAUAGUAAAUGCAACUUUAUCCCUGUCAAUAGUUGGAGUAGGAUGAAAAUAUAGCACCCGGCCUCAGACUUUUAGGAUGUUCAUUUUCUAGCUCACAAAUUACAUUAUUUUGCUGUGAUGAUUUACUGUAUUUUGUUUAUUCUUGUCUUUCACUUUUGUGUCACAUGAUCUGUUUAGCUCUCCUUUAUCCUGCUCUCAGAGAAUAACCAAGUGCUAUUCACCAAGCAUGGACUGAUUCACUCACCUGUGAGGAGAUCCAUCCUACAGCAGUUUGAACUAGACCUGCCGUCACUGUUUAGAUUUUGGGACCACAUGCAUUUGCCUGUUGUCUUUUCUUUGUGGAUUCUAUCUUACACAGUCUAGUGCAUUUUAGAGUUGACGAACACCAACUACAGAUACAAGUGGUUGUUUGAGCACCUUGAAGACUAAAUUCAAUGUAGAAUCAGUGUAACCGGUGACAAACAGAUUAUUUUACUAUUGUAACAAGCAGUGGUGAGAAUUAUAUUGUCCCCGUCGGGAGCCCAGACUUUUGCCAUAGAUGGUAGUGUUCUCGUCUCUGGACCACACAAGCUUUAGUCAGCUACAUUGGUGAUCAGAGUGGGAUCCUUUUGAUACGCCUAUGAGGCCUGGGCACACAAAUGCUCCUAGAGAGAAGGUGGAAUACUAAAGUAUGCGUUGAUGACAGGUCUGCAGUCUCCAUCAGAGGCCCAUGCUUUUGGCACAGAUGGUAAAGCUCUCAUUUCUUGACUGCAAUAUUGUAAGAUUGUGCCCUCCACAGCACUUGAUAUACAUUAAUUGGUAGGUUACGCUAUAUUUAUGUAGCCAGGUGGUAAAAGCGCAUAGCUGUAUUCAUUUUUAUCCACUAGCUGGCACCAUCCCUUUAAGAGAUUCAUAAACAAGGUGUGCCGGCGGUUAUGGGAUUGCGCAGUGUGUAAGAGUGAGAACAAGCAAUUACACUGGCGACCUGUUGAAAACCAUCGUGGAUCCAACGUUACUUUAGAUGGAUUGACAUGAGGAUGUUAGCUUCUUGCUAGCUGAAUACCAGUGCUCUCAGAACCACGUGGUGGAGUUGAUGAUAACAUUAUUUGAAGUUGCAGUAUGGGUGAGAUGAGGAUCUACUGUUCCAUGUGGGGUUAGUGCAUCACCUGGACAGCGUGUUUCUAAGUAUUCAUGUUGUUUUAUGACUAAAUGUAUUUUUGUUUUUCAUGCAUGAUGUCAUUUUAUUCAUGGACAUCUUGUACUCAGAUAUUUGAAAUGUUAGAAAGUCUAUUCUAACUGAACAUUGUGGUGUCUGUAUUUUCUUGUGUGUUUCUAUAGAAAGCAGAGCCACUACAGUUUAUGCAUUUCACUUUGUACUUAUUGUACUCCGAUUGUUUUAUGCACUUAACAGAUUUAUUUCACUUGAUUGUGAUUUGGACUGAACAUUACUUUAUGGUGACUUCAUCUUGUGGUGAUUUCCCUUCUACAUUAUCCUAUUUUAAAUGUAAGUUUCGAAAGAAUAAACAACCCCAAAUUAGUUUGUCUUGUGCUGGGUUUACUUUCGCCAGGCUACAUUUAUAUACUGCUUAAGACACCUUUGCUAUUUGCCGCUGUACUCAAUAAAUGGCGCA